UUUUAGCCCCGAUAGAGCCGAUAUCCCACGUUUUUUAACGUGGAUAAAGGUGAAAGCGGGAAAUAGC
rnacentral:misc_RNA from 1 species